rnacentral:rRNA from 1 species
UUGUUGGUAAGGUAAAGGCUUACCAAGGCUUCGAUCAGUAGCUGGUCUGAGAGGACGGCCAGCCACACUGGGACUGAGACACGGCCCAGACUCCUACGGGAGGCAGCAGUGGGGAAUUUUGGACAAUGGGGGAAACCCUGAUCCAGCCAUGCCGCGUGAGUGAAGAAGGCCUUCGGGUUGUAAAGCUCUUUCAGCCGGAACGAAACGGUUACGGAUAAUACCCGUGACUACUGACGGUACCGGAAGAAGAAGCACCGGCUAACUACGUGCCAGCAGCCGCGGUAAUACGUAGGGUGCGAGCGUUAAUCGGAAUUACUGGGCGUAAAGCGUGCGCAGGUGGUUUUGUAAGUCAGAUGUGAAAGCCCCGGGCUCAACCUAGGAACUACGUUUGAAACUACAAGACUAGAGUGUGGCAGAGGGGGGUGGAAUUCCGCGUGUAGCAGUGAAAUGCGUAGAGAUGUGGAGGAACACCGAUGGCGAAGGCAGCCCCCUGGGUUAACACUGACACUCAGGCACGAAAGCAUGGGGAGCAAACAGGAUUAGAUACCCUGGUAGUCCAUGCCCUAAACGAUGUCAACUAGUUGUCGGGCCUUUACGGGCUUGGUAACGUAGCUAACGCGUGAAGUUGACCGCCUGGGGAGUACGAUCGCAAGAUUAAAACUCAAAUGAAUUGACGGGGACCCGCACAAGCGGUGGAUUAUGUGGAUUAAUUCGAUGCAACGCGAAAAACCUUACCUACCCUUGACAUGUAUCGAAGCCCGCAGAAAAGCGGGGGUGCCCGAAAGGGAACGAUAACACAGGUGCUGCAUGGCUGUCGUCAGCUCGUGUCGUGAGAUGUUGGGUUAAGUCCCGCAACGAGCGCAACCCUUGUCAUUAAUUGCCAUCAUUUAGUUGGGCACUUUAAUGAGACUGCCGG